GUCACACUGUCUCAGUACAAAAUCCUCGUUUCGGAUGUGAAGUUUUGUUUACAGCUACUUGUGUUUCCGAAUGCCUUCCCAACAUUCCAGCGGAAGUGAACAUUUAGUGAUAUUGUUACGACCUCAGGUUAAACACGAAAUUCAGUGAAGUUAAAGUUCGUCGGGAAGUCGGGUCAACCACUCGUGCGUUCACCACAAGGUGUCGUUGGGAUGAAACAGGUGUUCGGACCAGAGAGUCGUGUUAAAGUCAGGUGUUUCUGGUCGCUUGUUCUCCUGUGCCUCUGCGGGCUUGUCGUGGCACAGGUGACGAACAGGAUCUCCUACUACCUCAGUGACCCCGUCCGCGUCACCAUGAAGAUCAAGAGAUCGUCUCAGAUGAAAUUCCCCGCUGUUACCCUCUGUUACAAGUCUUUCGUAAA